AAGUUUAAGUUAAGAAGCGAGUUCAGUUUGAGACCUAAAACAAUUAGGACGUGUUCUUCCAAAUAAUAAUAAUUGUACUAGUUGAUAAAUAAAAUUAAAUAAAGUUUUUUUUUUUAUGUAAAACUUAUAGUACGAAUAUUUAAUUGGCGCAGUCGGUAGGAUUUCAAGUGAAAAAGUUAAAACGUCGGCUUAAACUAGUCUUAGGGAUUAUACUAUACAACUAGUAUAUCCUGACCAGUACGAAUAAAUCAGAAAUCUUUUAAAAACACAAGUGAAAUCCGCAAAAGACUCUACGUGCAAAUCGUCGCGUAAACCAGUGAAAAAUCCAAUUCGGUCAAUACCACUAAAAUUUAAAGUGAAAUAUUGAAAAACUUCAUAAAUACAUAAAAUCCAAAUCGGUCAAUCUCGCUUAAAUAAAUAAUUUAAAGUGAAAUAUUGAAACUUUAACAAAACCAGAAUGGCAAACCCAAUCCAAUUAUCGGAGAUCCAUUUGAACCAACUAAUUCGUCAAAUUAAAGAGUUGCCCUACUUUGAUGGCAAUCCAACCGACCUAGGUGGUUACAUUGGGCGUGUCGAAUACCUACUACAGCUAUAUCCAACUCAGAAUGCCCGACAAGUUCAAAUAAUUUCUAGUAGAUGAAGUUGGCUUUUGCUAUAUAAAUAACUAAAUAACUAACUUUGCAUUGUUUUGGAUAAAGUUGCUAACGUCAAAUUAAACUAUUUUGUUUUGCAUCCAUUGCUAACGAAAACAUAAAUUAAAUUAGAUACGUCGAGCGUGCAAGGAUACUAGCACUCCGAGAAAUAGGGAUGUCAAUACGGAACUUGCAGACAAAUGUGGCAGAAAUAAGCGGACAAUAUAUUAAUAUAUGACGAACGGAACCAGCACAGAAUUAAAUUCUUAGCAGUAAAUGAAAACAUCAGUGCUCUCCAAAUUCGAUUUGAAUCUACCAGUUACCAUUACCGCUCGAUACGAUGGAGUGAGUUAUUUCGUUGAAGAAUGGACCAUUCAACAGAAAAAUGCACCUAUCCACUUUGCAAAAACCUAAUUUUUGAAUGGCCAGCGCGCAGCCCGGACUUAAAACUAGUUAUAUACUUUUUCAUUGUAAGUUUUAUCUUUUUUUGCGUUAUCCUUGACAUUACGAGUGUGUCCUACUUGUUUAUUUCGUUUGAAACCUUUGUUUUAUAAUGUUUUGUUAAGUAUUUUUUUGUUAUAUCUCUUGAAUAUCGUUACAAAUUUAAUAAAGAACAAAUAAAAAUUUGUUUUUUUGGAAAAAAA